AUUGAACGCUGGCGGCAGGCCUAACACAUGCAAGUCGAGCGGAUGACGGGAGCUUGCUCCUUGAUUCAGCGGCGGACGGGUGAGUAAUGCCUAGGAAUCUGCCUGGUAGUGGGGGACAACGUUUCGAAAGGAACGCUAAUACCGCAUACGUCCUACGGGAGAAAGCAGGGGACCUUCGGGCCUUGCGCUAUCAGAUGAGCCUAGGUCGGAUUAGCUAGUAGGUGAGGGAAUGGCUCACCUAGGCGACGAUCCGUAACUGGUCUGAGAGGAUGAUCAGUCACAAUGAACAUGAGACACGGGCCAGACUCCUACGGGAGGCAGCAGUGGGGAAUAUUGGACAAUGGGCGAAAGCCUGGUCCAGCCAUGCCGCGUGUGUGAAGAAGGUCUUCGGAUUGUAAAGCACUUUAAGUUGGGAGGAAGGGCAGUAAGCUAAUACCUUGCUGUUUUGACGUUACCGACAGAAUAAGCACCGGCUAACUCUGUGCCAGCCGCCGCAGUAAAAC
rnacentral:rRNA from 1 species